UAUACACAUACACAGCAAAUUAGACUUGGCACCAAUCUGCAAUACCUUAAGUCAGUACAGUGUUUGAAAAGCUUUGAAACAGUGGUUGAAUCAACGACAAAUUAGGAAGCCAAAAAAUCA